CUCUUUACAGAUUUAUGCCAUCACUUACUUCUGUGUACAGAAAGUUCAUUUCCAUCCGUUGACAAGCGCCUUUUACCUACAAGACAGCUUUAAACACACGGUUUUCAUCGUAUUGAGGACAAUGUCUCCAAAAGUCAAAAUCUACACCAUGGGGUGUGUUAUGUUUAGUAUUCUGGCCAUUGUACUGGAGCAAACAUCAGGAGUGGAGAUCUUAAACUGCGGUCCUGAUAAGCCCCUAGUAGUGGACGAAACCUCAACACAUUUUGAGAUAGAAUGUGUGAACAUCCAUGACGGUUACGAGGUCAUGUGGCACUUGAACUCUACGGACGAGGACGGUGCCAGGGACAUUUUGGCAGCAUUUUGCUUAAGGAUAAACAAGUGCUCAUUCCCUACCAUCUUCCUCAGCGCUCAUUCAAACGCAAAUAAAAUUGUGCUGAACGUUGCCAGCUUCCUAAGGUAUUAUAAUCUCACUGGAAUCACCUGCUCAGAACGCAACUGGUUUGACGUUGGGGAGAGUAGCUACACCUGUGGUGUACGCC